rnacentral:rRNA from 1 species
AGAACAACUCUCGGCAACGGAUAUCUCGGCUCUCGCAUCGAUGAAGAACGUAGUGAAAAGCGAUACUUGGUGUGAAUUGCAGAAUCACGUGAACCAUCGAGUCUUUGAACGCAAGUUGCGCCCGAAGCCUUCUGGCCGAGGGCACGUCUGUCUGGGCAUCACGC